AAUCUUUCCAUUUCUUAGCAUUCCUUCUCAUCUCUUCACCAAUCUCCCCACUUCCCAUGACCAACUCCAAACACCUCUUGAACUCCUCACCCGUAACAAUCCCCUCCUCAUUUUGUGUCACCCUCAAUCCUGUCUUCCAAGUGUCUUCUAUCAACUUGGCAUUCGUCCCUUGGUCCGUCCACUGAGGAAACGCCACGACAGGCACCCCCGAAACCAGGCUCUCCAAACUUGAAUUCCACCCACAAUGUGUCACAAAGCAACCCAACGAAGGACUCGAGAGAACCGCCACUUGACUACACCAUGGCACUAUCCUCCCGAGCUCUUCUAAUUCCUCUCUGCAACUCAACAUCUCUUCUUCUUUCUUCGCCUCGUUAUCGUCUCCCUUCUUCUCGACUUUAUCUCUAAUAACCCACAAGUACGGACGGCCACAAUCCAACAACGCCUUCGCGAUUUCCUCCAUUUGGGCCUUUUCCAACACAGAAAUGCUUCCGAAGGAUACAUAAAUCACCGACCCUUCCGGCUUCGAGUUCAGCCACUCGAGGUACGAAGAGUCCUUUGAUUUUUGGAAAAGAUCGCCUCCAAAUGACUUGUCCGAUGGAACCUUGCUGUCCAAGGAAGCAGACCGAAUCAGUGGCCCGAUUCCAAUCAAAUUGUACUUGUCAAUUGCUUUUAAGGCUUCUGGCUCUAGCGCAUCGAACGUGUUCACUAGAAUGGUCGGAUUGGUUUCUCUCUCCAGCAGAUCCAUCUGUUCUUGAAACAACGGGAGGGCGAAAUUGUACGGAUUUGUAUCCACCAUGAAGGAGGGAAGGUCUCGGCUUGUGAGAGAUAAUGGCAAACCUGGUAAUUCUAUUGAACAUGGAAGGACAUCGUUCGUACCAGAACUAGUAUUAUCCCGGAUGAGAUCUUUGUACCCGUUAAAGUAAUAGUAGUAGAUGUCGAAAACUGUGGCUGGUUGAAUCCAAAGCAGUACGUUUUGGAGGUGAAGUUCAUACGCCACGUCCGCCGCCCAAGGGAGAAAUGUUGUGUAGACUAGGCAAGUGUAAGGGUGACCCUCGUUUGCACUUGAGACUACAAGGUCGGUGAUGGCUUGUGCUCCGCGGCGCCGCAGCUCCAAUGCGUAGUGGUCGUUGUUGUUGGUACGAUUAAACCCGUCGUCGUACCCAUCAGAGAAGAGUGAGUAGGUCAAUCCAUCUGGAAUUGAGUCAUUGCCUAUGCGGUGACGGGCGGAAAGGCAGGUAACGAAGGUGACAUGGGCGCCGGUAGUGUUGAUAAGACGCUUGGCGAAUUGGAGGGACGGGUUGAUGUGGCCUUGUGCCGGGAAUGUGACAAGUAGAAAGCGGUGUUGCACCAUGGCGGCGUAUGCGAUUGCGGAGUUGCGCGGUGGAGCGUGGAGGUGUUGGAAGUAGAAUAAGUAGGUACGUAAUUGAUUGGUAGAAUAUUUGUUUCUGUGGGCUUAUUAGCUGAGUGAAAUUGAAAUUCUUGUGGGAAUAUACAUUCAAGGUGGGGAGUGUGUUGAGAGGAUGUCAAGGCUUAAAUAGGGGUUUGGGGGUAGAAAGGUGACGUUUGUCGUGACGCAUUGAAGACGCUGGAGACGAAGCAAAGAUGAGAAGAAUACUUGUGUUUUGUGGUCUUCUCGAUCAUGCAUAAUAUUAUGAGUAAUACUAGGGAGGUCAUCUAUACUUAAAUAAAAUACUAUAUUUAUCACAUAUUUGUGUAUUGUAUCAUUAUUUGUAUCAUCUUUCUAAUAGAGAUAAGACCAGACCAAGUGGCCCUACAUCUAUUGAAGAGAUGAUACAAAUAUGUGAUAUGUGUAGAAAUCAUAAAUUUUAUAUCAUACGACGUGGCUAUUAAUGACACAUCACAUGAUUUACAAAUUUAAUGUAAAAAGUUAGUAUCCCUAACUUACUCUUUUCAAAUUCGCUUCAUCAAGUUUCUUAGCACAUCACGUGGACUAAAUCCAGUUUGAUGUGGUCAGAUAGACAAAUUAAGUCAUCGCCACAAAACUAAUCAAUACACAUGCGAGUGUUUGAUUUGUCUAGGUUAAUUAACUAUUGAUUCGAUCUGAUUUGUCUAGUUUAAUUAAUUAUUCAAGGCCGAGUGUUUGAGGCCAUGAAUAAUUGAGUUCGAACUAAACAGCCUAUACGGUUCAUCGUAGAUGUGAGCAACUCCACCUUGAGGGCUUGUCCUCAAUACUAGGAAAAAAGAAAACUAAGAACCAAGACACAAUCUGAUGGUGGCACGGUCCUUCACUCUAAAACUAAAGAACUAAAACUAAAAUAAGGGACUUGGAUCCUCUCCUAAGCUAGUGAAGAGGAUCCUCCUGACCAAGUGUUAUGGGCCGUUGGAUUUUCAUCUAACGGCUAUAAUUAUUAUAACUUUAAAAGGACCCACCUGUUUGUAGCCGUUGGAUAAAAAUUCAACAGCCCACAACACUUGGUCAGGAGGAUCCUCUCCAUUAGCUCAGGAGAGGAUCCAAAUCCUAAAAGAAGGACCAAAUUGUUUUCUCGUGGUCCUAAGCCGAAAGAAGGUAUGUUGAAAUAUCUAUCAUCGAUAGAAUAAGAAAAAAAGAGUUUAAAUAUCUUAAUUUCAUUCCAACUAAUAUCGAAAUCUUUUAUGAUAAAAACUUCACACCUGUCGAACUGUGUAAAGUAAUAAUUUAAAAAUGAAGACAAUAUCGAUAUUAUUGGAAGUACAUUUUUCGCAUGUAACAAGGCAAACACAUAUAUGCUCCAUGUGUCAUAAUUUAGUUCGAUAUGACCAGUAAAAAAAUAAGCAACCAUAUAGUUUUGGUGAAAUGGAAUAUGAAAUGGGCCCUACCGCGGGACUAAGACUCCUAAUCCUGCUACUAAUAAACACACAUAUGCUCCAUGUGUCGUAAUUUAGUUCGAUAUGACCCGUAAAAAAAAUAGGCAACCAUAUAGUUUUGGUGAAAUGGAAUAUGAAAUGGGCCCUACCACGGGACUAAGACUCCUAAUCAUGCUAAGAUUAUUUUAAAAGGAAAACUAAUGAAAAAUGCUUGAAAACUUUAAGUUUUAAUGAUAAGGACAAAAUAAAAGAUAAAGUGAAUAGUACUAGAAUUGAUUUUUUAGUGUAAAAAUAUGAUUUUUUGUUAAAGUGAGCAGUACAGGUGCUUUUCGUUAAAGUUCCCUAUUUUAAAUUCCUAAUCCUGCUAAGAUUCCUAGUCAAACUAAACUUCCCUAAUUAAGCUAGAUGGUUGUAGUAGUCUUCACUCAUGCAUGCAUGAUGAGUGCAAAAAUUCGCUUUCUAUUUCUAUUAAAUUAAGUGAAUAGCACAUAACAUGGACUAGUAGGUUUGACGUGGUAAGAGAGAUGAGCGAAUUUAGUGAGCACAAACCUGAUUAAUACACAUACAAAUUUGUGAUUUGUCUAGUUAGGGGCCUAAGGGCUAGGGGGCCGUUUAUCAUAUGCCAAAUUUGAUUGGUCUUGUUAAAUUUCAAGUAGACGGGUCAUGGGCCCACUCCAACAACAUCGAUAUUGUCCUUACUAGGCCACCCGCUCAAUCCGUCAGGUGUGGGGUUUUAAUACAAAAGACCUCGAUAUUAGUUAGAGUGGGGUAAUUUUAUUUAAAGGGCUUGUUCUCAAGCCUUCUGACCGAUGUGAGACAGAGGAAUUAUAACACUCCCCUGCACGUGAGACCCCAUUUUAUGGGUCACACAUGAAGUUCCACACAUCGGCAACCACGUGGAGCCAAGUCGGGGCUCACCCGUUCGUGCGAGGCCAAUGGGGACCCACCCAUUCAUGUUGCAUCUCUUGGCCUAUGUGGAGCCAAGUUGGGGCUCACCCGUUCACGCGGGGUCAAAGAGGACCCACCCGUUCACGUGGAUGUACGGGCCCAUCCCCUGGCUCUGAUACCAUCUUAAAUUUCAGGUAGACGGGUUAUAGGCCCACUCCAACAACACCGAUAUUGUCCCCACCAUGUCAAAUUUCAGAUAAAUGGGCCAUGGGCCCACUCCAACAACACUGAUCUUGUCCCCACUUAGCCACAUACUCAAUCUAUCAAGUGUGGGGUUUUAAUAUAAAAGGCAUCGGUAUUAGUUAGAGUGAGGUAAUUCUAUUUAAAGGGCUUGUUCUCAAGCUUUCUGGCCGAUGUGGGACAGAGGAAUUCUAAUAGGUCUAGCUGCAUCACACUAAAAUUGAUUGGUCUAGCUUUAUGAUACUAACUUUCCUUUAUCAACAAUGAUCAUUAGACACACAAAAUUAACCAUAUUGAUGACGUAUUUUAUAGUAGAGGCAAGUGUGCCAAAAAGUAAAAAAGUGUGGCAUGACCAUUGUCACCCUUUUAGUAAUAGCUACCUUAGCAACGUCACUCUUGCUCUGUGGUUAUUGCCCUCUUUUCUCGUAUUGGCCUAUGUUAAAGAGAAUAUAUCGACUAUGUGACCAAUUUUGUGUCCUAAAUAGUGUUACUGGGUCUUUAUUGUUAAAGCUAUUUUUGUUAAACAAAUUUGACAUUCAUCUAUUUCUUUUUCGUUUUGAAUAAGCAAUGUCCUACACUGUUAUAUUGUUAGGUUUUAUUGACCCUAAAAAUUACAAGAUGUACAUGGCGCGCAGGCCGAACAACUAAUGAGUUAACUACGUCCUUCUUAUGAAUGCAGGCUUACCAACUCACGACCGAGACUAAUUGGGUGAGUAAAAUAGAUGUGGUGGUGGUGUUGAAUGCAUUGCUGACUGCUACGCUUAAGCAACUACGACCGAGGAAAUAACGCCUCUCAGCCUAGGGUUCUAGACCCUGAAGACAAGGUUACUUAAUUCAUUGAGAAGUUCAGCAUCUUCUCACCAAAUUCGAUACCUACAACUAUAUUCGUGAGAGUAUAACUACGCUGAAUCGGUAUCAAGCUGUAAAGACAAAUAUACUCAAAAGAAACGAGUGUCUUUAUGGUGAAUGUUGUUUGGUUGUCGGAAUGACGAACUCUGAAAUGUACUUGCGAGUAACCAAUCAUAGACACCUCACUUCGCUGGGGAAGCUAAUGAAGUGGCAUCUUUCGGUGAAGGAAUCAAAGAUUCUUCAUCGGCUGAGACUUAGAUAGGUAACCAACCGAACUAGAAGUAGUGAUAUUUAAACAAACUGAAGGUAUUCCUAGGUCGACUAGUCCUACGACUCCAGUAAUGUCCACCCGAACUGAAUAUGUUGUCAGUUUGCGAACCCAAUGAUGUUCGAUUUGCCAACCAAUGAUGUUCCAACGAAAUGAAUAUAUGCAGAUAGAGGGGUUAGAAUAAUUAGUAUUUUUUUUUCAAGUUGUGACAAGGAUUUCAUGUAUUGUUGGAAUUUAGGAUUAUUUUAUUGUUUGAAUUUGGGCGUAGCCAAUUAGUAUUAGGGUUUCGUUUUCUUGCUUAUUAGGGUUAGGUUAGUUCUCUAUAUGUAUGAUGCUUUAUAGCUCGUAGAAUAAGUAAUUCACAAUGUAGUAUCUUGGAGUUUUGUAGCUAUUUUGGCAUUCUCCUUUCUUUAAUAAUAUUCUUAUUAUUUUGUAAUCUUGUUUGUUGAGCACUCUGAUAUUCAACUUGGUAUCAGAGCAGGUUUGAUCAUUCGGGGUAUCCAUGUUGUUUGUUUGAUAUUAGUUUUCAGUAUUCGUUUUGAAAAGAAAAAAAAAUUUGAAUAUGUUUGCUCGAAACCAUUCCCAGAUCCGUACAUACCUGAAGCCCUGAACCGUACCCGCAAUCGUUUCCUCAUCAGAUCACCACCACGCUACCACUAGAACCACCUGCUACAAAUCCGACUGAAUCUGCACCUCGCCUGCUUGAAACAUCGCGCCACCAUUUUCUUGAACCCAUUGCUGUAUUCUCUAUCUUUUGUAUCCACCGCCGCUGAACCUUCUGUUGUCCACCGCUGUGCUUGUUCCGAUUCCUUUCCCAACGAUUUGAUCACCUGCACCAUGAUCAGACGAAUUCAUCACCAUCCACCCAUGUUGCCGCUGCAAUCAAGAACUCUGCUGAUCCGUAUUCAUACCAUCACCCAAAUUCAACUAACCCAAGAUUGCAUGCCCGCUGCUCAUCACAUCCUUGUUGCACUGCUGCUCGACCCUGUACUCCGCUUCCGUCGUGAACCCACUAAGCCACCGCGACAAUAGAAUCCCAUCGCCACUGCACUUGCAUCAACCCCAUCUGCACACUGCCUCUGUAACUAGAAACCUAGCACAUUUGCCAUUUGAAUGGAUUGUUUGUUUGUUUGCUUGAAUCGCUUGCCUUGUCGUGUCCGCCUAAUGGAGCUUACCUUGUCGUGUCCGUCUAACGGAGCUUGUCUUGUCUUGUCCACCUAACGGAGCUUGCAUCCGCAUCUGCUUGUUGGCAAACUCAUUACGUGUAUCGCCAUGAGUUUGACGGGGGGUGUUGGAAUUUAGGAUUAUUUUAUUGUUUGAAUUUGGGCUUAGCCAGUUAGUAUUAGGGUUUCGUUUUCUUGCUUAUUAGGGUUAGGUUAGCUCUCUAUAUAUAUAAUGCUUUGUAGCUCAUAGAAUAAGUCAUUCACAAUGUAGCAUCUUGGAGUUUUGUAGCCGUUUUGGCAUUCUCGUUUCUUUAAUAAUAUUCUUAUUAUUUUGUAAUCAUGUUCGUUACACACUCUGAUAUUCAACUCGUAUAGUGUUUGAGUUGUUUUGACUUAAAGGGGGUUUUUCACGUUGUAGAACCUCUUGUAUUUAUAGGACGACAAUACUUUGGUUGAUAGGUUCCAAAACCAAUUCAAACUGCAGCACGCUCUUUGAGCUUUAUCCCAUUUUACUUGCUAGUUAUAUCCGAUGCUUAAGUCUAGUCUAGCUAACAUCUCAUGAGAAACAACUCUAAUUUGGGGCCAUGUGCAUGAUGAAGGCCUACUUCCCUCCUAAGAUGGGACUCUAUCAUUAGUUACAAGGACGAUAGAGUUCCAAACCUAUCCACAUAAGUUAUAAAUCCCAAACCUAUUGGAUGUGCUGCUCACCGUGCCCAUCUUAACAAUCAUAUCUUCUUUUAAUUUGUAGAAUGGGAAAGCAAUCACACUGCCCAUAAUCUUCAAAUGCAGCAUGUGCUUCAAAAGAGUCCAUCAACUACUGAAGCUUUAUUUUUGCUCCUAUUCCAUCGUCAGACCGCGGUACACUAAAUGAUAGGAUGAGACAAACCUGUAGUUGUGUUGAAGGAGUCUGUCAGCUUUGCUUUUGUUGCUGUCAAAAUAUUUUUAAUAAACGCUUCAAGAUAAUUAUUUUGAUGAAAAUCAACGAUAAUAUCUUAAAGAAGUUAAAUUAAAAUCUCUUAAAUCUCUCUCAUACGGCCGAAGUUUUCAGAAAUAAAAAAAAGUUAAUUAACAUCUCUUUAUUCUUAGAGCUAUCAAACAAUCUAAAAUUUUGUUCAUUCAACAACCUUAAUUGUACCAGACCGAUAGUUUAAUAGUGGGUCCAACCUUGUUUACUCUAAAAGACAGAAUGAAACUGUGAAUAGCAUGAGUGCCUCGCAACCGGUUUACCAUCGACCACAAGUAAUCAUUUGCAUUUCUUAGGAUGCUAAAACAAACAAGAAUAAAACCAAAAUAUAAAUCAGAUGGCAACGUCAUACUGCAUGGUUGCCUCUUGGUGUAUAAGCCAAACUACAGAGAAAAUAUUGGAAUGUUCUCUAUUCUCGAACAUAUAAAAAAACGUCAUCCAUGACGAUAUCUUAAAAAUCAGAUUGCAACCAAAAUUUAAAUAAUGUCUUUUAGCUUGUCUUCUGAUUGCGUAUCACGAAAAAACAUUACACCUCACAGCAAAUGAAAUUUUAGCACGUGUGUAUUCAUUCUGAAUAACGCCAUAAGAGUUCAAAGUUUAAAUGAGGGAUUCAACCAGGUUGUGCAAGACAAGAAAUCUUCUGUAUUUAUUUUGUGUGUAGCUUUUUUUAUAGUUUUUAUUCUUGAUCGAUUGACACAUGUUAAAAAGUUUAAUCUUUCUUAACUUUAUUGUCUUAAAUUUAACAUGUAUUAUUUAAUAAUAGAGAUCAUAGACAGACCAGACACAAAAUAAAUGUAGAAGAUUUGUUCUCGUUGAGGAGCUAAGCACUCAAGAUUAUCUAAAGGGAUGACGGAAGGAAAAAUAGUUAGAAUUAGGACAAGUAAAUGGUGCAGUUUUUCCAAUGUGGUAAAAAAAUACAAAAAUGGUUACGAUUAUAAUAGAUAAAUAGUUUGUUGACCAUUUGCAUGCGUAAACAGUUGAUCCUGAAACAUCUCAACAAUUAAAUCUAGAGAACUUUAACAAAAAGUUCCUGCUACUGUUUAUUUUAACGAAAAAUCACAUUUUUACACUAAAAAGUUAAUCAUGGUACUAUUCACUUUACCCUUUAUUUUGUCAUUAUCUUUAAAACUCAAAGCUUUCAAGCCUUUUUCAUUAGUUUUCCUUUAAAUCUAAGCUGAAGAGGUAGAUGUUGUGGGUCUUCAUCAGUCCAUUAGCAAGGUCAAUGCGUCCGUUGGCAAGGUCAGUGCGCCUACUGGCCAAGUCCAAUGGCAUACAUGCCUAAUGCCUUCUUGGUAUCUAUGAUUAUAUUGAAAUAGAUAAUCAUCUAAAUUAAAGAUAUAUAGAGGUAGAGGGUACUGAUUCUUCAUUUUGAAUGAAUUAGAAGGGGAUCAGACAUAAAGGAAAAUUCUUUCUUUUAAUCCUACUACAUUUUUAGAAACGAUUGAAAUGAAUAAGCUUUUCUUCUCGAGCAAUUCAUCUCUUACUUUCAAAUUUGUCACAUAUUUUUCAUUUAUUCAUUCAGCUUACCUUAAAAAUGAUAACUUAUGUAUUCCAAUUCAUUUCUCUGUACCAAACAAGGCUAUAGUUCUCAACUUAAGAAAUGCUUAGGGUCGACUCUCUCAAAGUAGGACUCUCAUAUAUUUUUUGUCACCUCACUGUAACGUCAAUUUCUAUACCAACAUUAUAAUACUAUGCUAAAAGCAUAAAAUGACAGAGAGUCUAUGAAAAAUCUCACGAGUCUCUUUAGCAUUUGUGAUAGUAACUUAUUAAACCAUUAAGAUUACUGUUGUCUCUUUAGCAUUUUUGACUACUGUCAGUUCUUCCCUUUACCUCGGUGGACACUCAAAAUACUUUUUCUUUUAGGAUAACUAAUAAAAAUGAUUUGAAAACUUUGAGUUUUAACGAGAAUGAUAAAAUAAAGGGUAAAGUGAAUAGUAUCAAGAUUAACUUUUUAGUAUAAAAAUAUGAUUUUUCGUUAAAAUGAAUAGUACCAUGAGCUUUUCAUUAAAAUUCUCUUUUGUUUUUGGGGCAAAGUGGACACCCAAUUAAAUCCAAGUAUGUGACUAGAGCAAAGUUCCUGUGGUAUUUUUCUCAACAAGGCCUUUGGUUUCUUGUGUAAGAGAGAGGCUGUAGACAGAUGGAUGUCUCCUUCCGUUUCUUUUGAGAGCACUAUUUGAUGCCACUAAUUAUCCAUUGAGGCUCCUUUUUGGAUAAAAUGUCUGGCCCCAGUAGGAUGAGAAUCUUUUCCGAGUUUUUUUGUGAAGGUUAUAGGAAUCCUCAAAUCAUAUUCGUUUAUCAUAUAUUAUGCGAUAAAAAAUUAUUUUAAAUAUUUUUAUUUAAAAUUAAACAUGAACAGUAUUUGAAGAAAACUGACCACACAAUAUACGAUGAAUAUACAUAAUUUGAGGAUCCCAGGAUCCUUACAAAGGCGAUCCGGAGAAGAUCCUCAUUCGCCCCAAUUAUCCAAUUUGAUAAAAGUUGACAGAAUUUAACAUUUAAGAUCAGUUGAAGGAGAAAUUUUUGUUAAUAUUUUAAGUGUCAUAAUAUAAGUAGUUGGAAAAAAAAAAUUUCAAAUAUUCAACCAGUAUCCAACCACAUCUAUUAUGACAGUGAGUAUAUAUCAAAUUGGAUACUGGUUGAAGGCUGGAACAUUGUCAGUUUUGUACUAGCUGAAGUUCCCAGACUCGGGUUUUAUUGAGAUUGCAAAUGCAAUUUUUUUCUGAUUUUGUUAUCGUCUUGAGACUUGUCCAUAUACAAUUAUCUUUGGACGUUUUCUCUUAUAUGUUUCUCGAUAUCCCUGGUACAUGAAGGUUUCCAAUCCAUAAUAUACUUUGGUGGCUGAGAUUUUAGGGUUCCAACCUUUCCUUGUUAUUUUAAAAAACAGGCGUUGCGUCCACUUCAAGGGUGUAACAUUUUAUUCACUCAGCGUAAUUCAAUCACCGUAAAUAUGUCAUGAUUUGAACUGUUCAAUAUUUUAAUUAUGAUUUAAGAUAUCUUAUGAUGUUGGUACCAAUUACUAUUUCAGUUUUGUUUCACUUUGUUAUCUAAAAAAGUUCAUGCUUUGAGGAACAAAAAUUCAUUUUCGAUUUUAAUCAAAAUAAUCUUGGAAAUGUAGAACAAUCAUGCUUUGAGGAACAAAAAUUCAUUUUCGAUUUUAAUCAAAAUAAUCUUGGAAAUGUAGAACAAUUUAGCUUAUGGGCUUUACAAACGUGUUUUAACAAAAUAAUCUUGGGAAGUUUUUUUAUUAUUACAAAUCAUAAUUUUUAUACACAAAAAAUGGACAAAUGAGUACCACAAUAAUCUAGAGAAUUAGAAUAAUAUCUUAUAUGUUGUGGUCUAUAUUUAAUUGACAAGGGAAGGGAGCCGGCGGCACAUAGAGACAAUAGAAAUAGAUGUAUUUGUAGGAUUGUGUAGAAGAAUGUGUGUGUUAUUCUCCCUACGCAAUGCCUUUAUUUAUAGUAAUAAGAGAGAGAAGAAAUCCUUCUCCUCCAAGAAAUACAAGUCCUAAUAGGGAAGAAUAAUAAGAAUCAAAUCUAAUAUAGGAUUUACACAAUCACACUUAAAUAAGAAGUUUAUAACACUCCCCCUUGAGUGUAUAAAUGCUCAAGUAGAUUCGGCAUCAUGUAGAGCUUGAGGAAGUCGACUCGUCGGCACUGAUUCUUGGAACAUGUUGUUCUCAAUAAGGUAGGAACUUGCAUAAGUAAGUAAGUCUCACAAAAAACCCUAAGGCUAUAGUAAAAACCCAUAGGGACAAAAUCCAUAGUCUAAGGAAAAAUGCGUGAGUAAUGCAAAGUUAAAUGAAACAUCUACGGGCAGUGGCGGAUCCAGGAAAUAAUGUUUGUGGGGUCAUAGCGCGUGCAGCGCGAAAUUUUUUUUUAGCCUCGUUUGGUAUUUCGGACUGUACUGACUAUUUCAGUCGGAUAGGAUAAAUAGUCGUCGGAUAGUACUAACUACAUUAGUCGGGCGUUUGGUGCAGUGUCGAAUUAAUCUGUGCAUUGAACAAUACUAAAUUUUUUUAAUAAUUUUUAACAAAAUAAUUGGUGUUAAAAUGAAAAAACUCACAAUAUAAACAAAUCAUCAAUAUAAUCAAAAUAAAUAUGAAUUGAAUUUCAAUUAAAUUAAAUAUAUUCUACAUAUACAAAAUAUUCAAAAUAAAUACUCACAAUAUAAACAAACCAUCAACAUAAUCAAAAUAAAUAUGAAUUGGAUUUCAAUUAAAUUAAAUAUCUCAUCUUGCAUUCUACAUAUAAAAAAUAAUGAAAAUAAAAACUCACAAUAUAAACAAAUCAUCAAUAUAAUCAAAAUAAAUAUGAAUUGAAUUUCAAUUAAAUUAAAUAUAUUCUACAUAUACAAAAUAUUCAAAAUAAAUACUCACAAUAUAAACAAACCACCAACAUAAUCAAAAUAAAUAUGAAUUAGGGUUGGAGGAGGAGGAGAAAACAAAAGAAAUUUGGGGGUUUUAGAAAGAAGGGAUUCGGAUCUGUGCAAAAUAGGGCUGAUAGGACACACUGGGUAUUUUUUUGUUUGUUCAGACCUGCCCAGGACACGCUGGGCAUUUGUUUUUUGUUCAGACCUGGCCCAAAACGACGUCGUUUUGGCCAGGUCAUUUAAAAAAAUUUCCUGGGCCAAAACGACGCCGUUUUGCUCGUAUGUUUUGAAAAAAAAGAAGCGCGCAGCUUCUUCUUCCUCUUCCUGCAGUGCCGAGCUUCGUUCAGGAUUUUUGUCGAACACUUGGCGUGCGACUCCGACCCCGACGACCCCGACGACCCCAGCUCCAAGAGGUCGCGUAUGGGAGCUUCAAGGUUGUUUCCAUGGUUUCCAAGGGGUCGUGCGACCCCGACGACCCCACUGUGGAUCCGCCCCUGUCUACGGGAUGUCAUCAGAGAUAUGAUCAACGCAAGGUGGGUGCCUCGUCAAAACCUCAUUAGGUAGCAAAAACCCUAUGGGAAAAAUGCUCCUAAUCAUAGGGAAAAAGAGUACAUUAAGAUUAAGUAAGUAUACUUCAAGAUACUCCCCUUGAGUUUGACACAAUUCCAAAGAGAAUUAGCAAUGUUACAACUCAGAAAGUUUACGCAUACCAAUUCCUUGAACAAGCUUCUGAAAUGUCACAUUCGGUUGUGAUUUGGUGAAGAGGUUGGCUAGAUUGUCUUGUGAACGGAUUUGUGUGACUUCAAUCUUCUGAUGCUCUUGCUGUUGAUGUGAGAAGAAGAACUUAGGCGCAAUAUGCUUGGUGUUGUCUCUUUUGAUGUAACGCUUCUUGAGCUGUUCGAUGCAUGCUGCGUUGUUUUCAUAGAUCGUCGUCUAGACAUCAAUGACAGGGUAAAGAUCGCAGGAGCUUCGAAUAUAGCCCACAACUGCUCUCAACCAAAAGCAUUCCCGAUUUGCUUCGUGUAAGGCGAGAAUUUCAGCAUGGUUAGACGAAGUGGCAACUAAGGUCUGUUUAGUUUACCUCUAAGAGAUUGUGGUGCCUCCAACGGAAAAGACAUAGCCCGUUUAAGAAUGCGCAUUUUGCAGAUCAAAUAAGUAUCCUGCGUCGGUAUAACCAACAAGGCGAGAAUCGACUCGAGAUAAGGGGGUGAGGCAUCAUUCAAGGAUCUAUAGGGAUAUAAUAAAUUCAGAUAUGUAGUACGUUUAAGGUAGCGGAAAAUCUCUUUAACACUAGUCUAGUGUCUACAUGUUGGUACAUUAGUGUAUCUUGCCAAAAAAUUAACAGCAAAAGAGAUGUCGAGUCUAGUGCAUUGAUCUAAGUACAAUAAAGCGCCUAUUGCAUUUAAAUAAGGAACUUCAGGCUCCAAAAUCUUUUCAUCAUCCCCUUUCAGACAUAAGGGAUCUCGUUUUGCAUUUAGCGAUCGAACGACCAUAGAAGUACUCAAAGGCUUCGCUUUAUCCUUGUUAAAGCGGCGCAACACCUUCUGGGUGUAGCUCGAUUUAUGUACUAAAAUUCCACCCAAACGGUGCUCUAUCUCGAGACCGAGACAGUAUCGAGUAUUUCCUAGAUCUUUCACCUCAAAUUCCGACUUCAGGUGCGCAACAGUUCUCGCUAGCUCUUCAAGAGUUCCAAUGAGAUUCAUGUCAUCGACAUAUACUGCAAUUAUCGCAAAAUCGGGAUGUGACUUCUUAAUGAACACACAAAGGUAUAAUUCGUUGUUCACAUAUCCUUGACUAGUCAAACACUCACUCAAACGUUUAUACCACAUUUUUCCGGAUUGCUUCAAACCAUAGAGUGAACGCCUCAGCUAAAUUGAGAGCGUGUUUCGAGGUUUGGAAAUAUUUGAUCCAGUCAAUGUAAGUCAUUCGGGAACUUUCAUAUAAAUUUUCAUAUCAAGAUCCCAAAAGAGAUACGCAGUUACUACAUCCAUCAGAUGUAUACUCAGUUUUUCGGAAACUCCCAAACUGAUAAAGUAGUGAAAAGUAAUCACAUCUAUAACGGGUGAAUAAGUUUCGUCAUAGUUAAUCUUAGAGCGUUGUGAGAAGCCUUGCGCAACAAGACGAGCUUUGUAACGUAUAAUUUUGUUCUUGUCAUUAUUCUUCCGAACAAAAACCCACUUGUAGCCAAUGAGCUUCAUAUGUGGAGGAGUAGGAGCUACAGGUCCAAACACCUUACGUUUUGCAAGCGAAUCGAGUUCGACUUGGAUUGCUUGUUUUCAGUUUGACCAAUCGGUUCUACAUCGACAUUCAUCAACAGAACAAGGUUCAAUGUCAUUGCUCAACAUGAUCUUAAUAGCUACUACAUAUACUAAUGUAUCGUCGACGAUCAUCUCAUUUCUACACCAAACAUCAUCCAAGCUGGCAUAACGGAGUGAAAUCUCAUGAUUCUCAGGAGGUGGAUUCGUUUUUUCAAGGACGCUUCCCUAAUCUAGAAUUUCCUCGUAAGUUGGAUAAAAUGAGUAGGCGACAGUUGGAUUCACGGUAAGUUCUUCAGGUCCAUGUGCCUUAGGUUUCCUUUUCCAGGGGUGUGAAUCCUUUGAACCAAAUGGUCUACCAUGCUUUUGUGUAGGGGUAGAUGAUUGGCUAGCCAUUAAUGUACUUUUGGUACAUCCAUCUUUGCAAGCACAUUUGCAGUUGGAAUAUGUGAUCUUGUCACUCGCGCUAGAUCGGUGAAAGCAUCUGGCAUGCUUUGAGCUAUGCUCUGGAGAUCUAAUAUGUGUUGCACUUCAGUCUGAGAUUGAGUGGUGCAGAGAUUUAAAUGAGACAAAGUGGGAGUCGUCCAUAACAAUUCGCGUCAUUUUUCAGGAACGUUGACGUUCUUAUCUCCCCCUAAUGACGGGAAUACUAUCUCAUAGAAGUGACAAUCCGCAAAACGAGCGGUAAACAGAUUGUCUGUCAAAGGUUCUAAGUAAUGAAUAAUCGAAUGAGAAUCAUAUCCGAUAUAGAUUCCCAUUAUUCGUUGAGGCUCCAUUUUUGUACGUAAGGGUGACGAAAUCGGCACAUAGACCACACAACAAAAAACACGCAAAUGUGAUAUGUCAUGUUCGUAUCUGAUAACCAACUGAAAUACGCUAUAUGGCUGGGUCAUAACAGGCCUCAGGCGAACCAACAUGGUUGUGUGCAAUAUUGCAUGGCCCCAAGCAGCGAUCGGGAACUUAGUACGUAUGACCCACGAUCGAGCAAUCAUUUGUAAACGCUUAAUGAAUGCCUCUGCCAAGCCGUUCUAGGUGUGAACAUGGGGUACUGGAUGUUCAACUUCAACCCCAACCAACAUGUAAUAGUUAUCAAAAUUUUUAGAUGUGAAUUCUUCAGUAUUAUCAAAUCGAAUUGAUUUGAUCAAAUAAUCAGGGUGGUAAGCCCCGAGCUUGAUAACCUAAGCCAACAGUUGGGAGAAUGCAGCGUUCCUUGUAGACAACAAGCACACGUGUGACCAACGUGUGGAAACGCCAACCAAAAUCAUAAAAUAUCUAAAUGGUCUGUAUGGAGGGCGAAUCGGUCCACAAAUGUCCUCCUAAAUCCUUUGUAGAAAAUAGGAAGAUUUAAACAAUUUUGUCAUAAGAAGGCUUAAUAAUAAGCUUUCCCAUAGAAUAGGUUUGACAUGCGAUUCCUUGAAUCGAACCUAAACGUUGGGUUAGUAUAUGCCCGUGUGAUGAUUUGAGGAUAUGGCACAUCACUAUUCGUCUAGGGUGUCCCAAACGAUCAUGUCAAAGUGUAAUUUCGUGUGCGGUCCCAGAGAUAGGAUCGGUCACAUAGUGGCUUUCUAUAGGGCGUAUAAUCGUAGUAUACAAACCACUUGGGAUACGCUCCAUCUUCUCUAGAAUAUGCUUCUGACCAUAUUCGUAAGAAGUUAUGCACAGAAAUUCAACUCUGUUUUCUACAUAGGUUUCAGCGUGGUAAUUAUUAUCUCUAAUGUCCUUGAAACUCAACAACUUUCUUCCGGAACGUGGAGAAUAGAGUGCCUCAUCAAUGGUCAAAAUUGUACCAUUGGACAACAUUAUACGUGCCUUACUGUAUCCUUUGAUCAGGUUGGUUGGGCCUGAGAUGGUUGUCAGAGGUGCAUUCUUAGAGCAAGUCCACCCCUAAGGACUUUGCGUCAGCACCCAACGCAUUUAUCCACUCAAGUGAACAGUAAUAUACUGGAGUGAACAGUAAUAUACUAGAGUGAACAGUAAUAGGCCAAGGCAUCUCCACCCCUAAAAAAAUGCGCUGGCACCCAGCGCAUUUAUUUGGUGUGUUUUUUUUUUUUUUUAAGUUUAUUUUAGAUAAGAUUUUUAACCAACUUCAGAUAAAAUUUCAAAUAAACUUAAAAAAAAAUACACACUAAAAUAAAAUUACAUACUCAUCAAAUAAACUAUAAAAAAAACACACUAAAAUGAAAUUACAUAAACUCAUCAAAUACACUUUAUUCUUCAACCACAAGUUUUUUGGUAUUUUUUUUUCACACAAAAAGUAUAUGAAAACUUUGGUAGAAAGUGUAGAAAAUAUUGAAAUAUGGUGUAAGGUGGAAGGUGAGAGUUAGGUAUUUAUAGAAAAAAUAAAUAUUUUUUUUAAUAUUUUUUGUAUUUUUUAAUAUUUUUUCUGUAUUUUUUAAUAAAUUUUAAUUUAGUUAAUUAACGUGGACCGUUGAUUUGUGAUCGGAUAGUCUAUUUUAAAAGUAAAAUUUAAAUUUUUUUUACCGUUGGAAAUCCAACAGUCUAGAAAAACUAGCCGUUGGAAAUCCAACGGCUAUGAGCAUGCCACGUCACUGAUGGGAUCCAGAGCACAAGUGGGCUGACAACCCCUCUGUAGCCUUUCGGCUACUCGCGCCCAAGCACGCUUGUCGUGCACGCACCAGCCAAAUAGGUCGGCUUCUUGGUCUAUCAAAAUUGGGUUGGCCUGUUGCCUGGCAUGGGCUGGGUGCUAGGCAACUUUGUGGGCUGAAGCAAUUUGACUGAGGGCCAGGCUGUUUUUUGUGUUGGGGGCUGGGCAAAGCAAGCCUCGGUGGUCUUGCUCUUAGGUAUGAAGUUAGUGAAAUAGAUAUGUUCACGCAAAACAGUAUGCGUGGUUACACUAUCUGCUUGACAACCAACUUUCCCACUAGUCAUACCUAGAAUAAAAAUUAAUUUGAAUUGGUCACAUGCAUAAAGUUCUUAAAACAAAUAUCCAAAAACAAAUCACCAUCAAAUAAUCCAAACAUAAAGGAAAGUUGUCCAAAAUUAAACCAAAAACACAAGGGGGUUCGGCCCCUAGGUGGAAUUAUUCGGCCCCAUUGCCUAAAUUUCAACUAGAAAAUAGUUUAUGUCUAAGAUUCUAAUCUUCCAUAAGGGUAAUAACCUCUUGAAAGUUAGAAACCUUCAUCUUUGUACUUUCUGGUUCAUCCACUUGCACAACCUUCUAGGGAGCUCGGCAAACAUGGGACCAAUGGCCAUUUGAACCACAGCAAUAGCACAUGUCCUCAUCCAUGGUUUCAAGUACUUUACCCUUAUUCUUGAAGUUUAGGGUCUUGGGUGCUAGGUUAAGGCGUUUCUGGGCUCUGUUUCCUCCCUUAGAUGGGCCUUAGCUCUGUUGACCUUAACGGGGUGGCUUCUGGCUGCCCCUACCAGGUUUAUUUUGGCAUUUUGGGCAUUUGUUUGUGCUAUGGUUUGCUUCAGGCACAAUAGUCACCCUAGUAGCUCGAGUUUGAUGAUUUUUCAUUAGCAGCUGAUUCUGCUUUUCAGCUAGAAGUAAAACAUAAAUCAAAUAUGAAAACUUAGUGAACUUCUGAGCCCUAUCUUGUUGCUACAGGACAAUAUUAGUAGUAGAGAAGGUCGAAUAGGUCUUCUCCAGGAGAUCCUCUUUGGUCAAGGUCUCGUUACAUAACUUGAGAAGUGAUCGGAUUCGACAAACUUCAUAAUUAUAUUCAUUCACAGACUUAAAGUCUUGGAAGCGGAAAUGCUGCCAGUCAUGUCUUGUUUCAGGCAAGAAGAUGUCCUUUUGGUGAUCGAAACGAUCGGCCAAAGCGACCUAGAGUGCUCGUGGAUCCUUCUCAACAAAAUACUCGGUUUGCAGUGGGUCAUGAAUAUGUCUUUGAAUGAAGAUCAUGGCAAUGGUUUUCUUAGCUUCGCCAACUGAGUUAUCCAUCUCAUCUUCAAUGGUGGGACACAAAUUCUUUGCAGUGAGGUGGAGCUUCACAUCUUGGACCCACAUGAGGUAGUUUUUUCCAAUAGACCUCCAAAGUGGUAUAGUCGAGUUUGUUCAAAUUUGACAUGUUCUUAUCACAAAAUAGAUAGGCAAGAUGUGGUUAGUGUAAUGGUGAAAAAAUCAAUCCAUUCACAUUGGUUUAGAACAUUUAGGUUCUAAUAGACAUGUAUUGGUUUAAAUUCGCAUGAAAAAAAACUUCGGGUUUUCAUGGGUGAUGUUUUUAAGAAAAACUUCAGGUUUUCAAACAAGGCAUGUUUUUAGAAACUUCAUGUUUCGAAAUAAUUAUGAAUUUCAUGUUCAUAUGUUCCUGUAGAUAAACACAAAUAUAUAUAGAGAAAUAUGUAACAAGAAAAUAUGCAAAUAGAACUUCAUGUCUAUAAAUUAUAAUAAAAUUAAUUAUUUGGACUUUGGGCCAAAUUUGAAUGUGUGGGUGAAAAUUUAUAAAACCCAAAUUGUCUAAAAAAUUAAACAAUUAUUCGGGGUCCAAAAACAGGGACCAUAAACCCAUAGGUGGGUUGAGUGAAUUUGUACCGUGGUCCAGGCCCAAAAAUUGGGCUGGGGUUAGGCACCGACUAAUCGGUCCCCAAAAUAAAUUUGGGUUGUGGGCCCAGUAGCGGCAAGGGGUUGCAAGAAGACCGGGCCUAAAGCAUAGGACCAAACAGGGUGCUGAUCAGGUGUAGUGGGAAACAAGCUAGGGCUGUAAGCCCACUCAAAGGCAUGCUCAUGUGCUUCGCGGUAUAGUGCACCGGUGUUCCAACUUCAAGUUGGGAUCACAUGCAUGCGGGCGUAAGGACACCAGGGCCCCUACGGGCUAGUGUCACACUUGAGUCGAGCCAUGGUCUUGGGCCGCAUCUGUGAGCCCAGUCACGAAAAAAAAUAUUUUUUUUUCAUAUGCCGAGAGGGCCAGCCCAAUUGGGCUUAGGUUGCAACAAAAGGAACACCCCAGCUUCGCUGGGUGUGGUCACCAAGGACGAAGGUCGGCGCCGUCGUUUUAGGCUGUCGUGUUUUGAUCAAAAGAACUCGAAACGAGUUGUGAUGUUUGACAUGGAACCUGGAUGGUGUGAUGGAGAAGGUCUCGACAUCCAAAAACCAAAGAAAAACCUAGGAUUCGAAUUUGGGUUUUCAAAAUCCGGGGAGAUUCAUACGAAUCUCGGCCAAAAAAAGGUCGGCGACGAUUGCAGGUCGUCGGGGAUGGCAGCUGUAGUGGCUGGGCAUGGCUGCAGGCCAUGCUUGUGAUGCUGUGAAGGGUGUCGGGGUUUUUGGGCUGGGUUCUAAAGGUUUGGAGCUUCGAGCUCCUACUGUGGUUCGGGUUUGGGUUCAAAGAACCCUAGAAAUUUUUUAUUUUUUUUCUUUAUUUCCAUAUUAUAAUUCAAUGCAUAUUGAAAAAUAAUUUAAUGCAUGAGCAGAUAUUUGAUGCAAUUCAAGGCAAUAUCAAAUUCACGUAAUUCAACAAUUAUGGGGAAUGUUCAUGCCAUCAGGGCUGCAAAAAUAUCGAGAUAAAAACCGUUGUUUUGGAAGAACCUGAUUGCGUGAUUAUAUGGAUGAACUGGUUUGAUGUAGAAAACUUCCAUGUCAGAUUCCUAAGCACAACAGUAGGAGCGUGCUAAUAACGUGUUGUGGCCUAUAUUUAACUGACAAUGGAAGGGGGCCAUAGGCACAGAGAGAGAAUAGAGAGAGAUGUGUUUGUAGGAUUGUGUAGAGGAAUGUGUGUGUUAUUUCCCCUACACAGUGCCUUUAUUUAUAGUAAUAUGAGAAAGGAGAAAUCAUUCUCCUCCAAGGAGUACAAGUUCUGAUAGGGAAGAAUAACUAUAAUCAAAUCUAAUCUAGGAUUUACACAAUCACACUUAAAUAAAAAGUUUAUAAAAUUAUACGCUUUACAAGCGUGUUUUAAUUUUAAUUUUCUUAGUCAAUCAAUGGAGUAGUGGUGCUUCAAAUAAUAAUAAAGUUCAUGCUAAAAAAAUGUAGAUUCAUUUCUUUAUUUCAAGAUAAAUAAAAUUGAAAAUGGUGUUGGCUGAUUUAGGCUGCUAAGAAUCAAAAUCAUGUAUUUUAAAACCCUUGAAUUAGAAACAUAAACUUGAUGUCAAACUCAAAUUCACCAAUGGACAUCAAUGGUAGAGUACAUUAAAUAAUUGGGAGUUUUAACGAAACACUCCCGGUACUGUUCACUUUUAACGAAAAACCAUAUUUUUACCUUUUCCUGAUACCAUUCACUAUACCUUUAUUUGUCAUUUUUCAUUAAUACUAAAGUUUUUUUAGACUUUUCGUUUGUUUUCCUUAAAUAAUUUCCAAAUAGACAUUGUACAACUUACAAACAAGUCCUAGAAAGGGCUAGCGUACAAAAGGAUGCCACUUAUGAAAACAAAAUAUGAGUAAUAGUUCAUCUCUACAAUGUUUACAAGGUUUCAACUAAAAAAAAAUUAUCUUCAGAGACCCAACAGUAGCUAGUAGAGAAAAUUCUAGAAGCCUAGGUGAGGAAUGACCUGUCGCUAAUGCCCCAAAGGCACCCAAUCACCCACACUGCCAAUUUAACACCACAAAAUAGAACUUGUUCACCCCUAGAUCAUACAUGUACAGACUUUCAAAAGCCCCAAAAAUAAACAAAGUUAAACCUCAAACAUAUAACAUCAUAAUACCCAUUACAAAACUAAAAUUUAUCACUAUUUUUUGCUCAAAAUUUAUCACUAUUUAACCUACCAUCCAAUUGAAGCAGCCAAACCUCACAACUAUAUGCACCACCACACAGGGACAAGAAAGAAUAUAGUUCCAAUGCCGGCAAAUGAAGACAUGAAUCGAAAACCAAAGAAAGAGGCGAGGCAAAGCUCCGCGUGGAAACCAAAGUCUUAGUUCCAUACACCUUCAGCUGAAUGAGGGACGAUUCGUUCUAAGUGUGGGUAGUAGACACCAGAGCUUGGUCAGACUUCUUAAUCGAAUGUGGCCAUUUUGACGGCAAAUGAGUCUUGAGGACUGGAUUUGUAGUAUGGGUUAGAUAUUUGUGGUUCAUUUGGGGCUAAUUAGGAUCUGGUGCACAAUAGCACGAAUAGGGGGAAUUAAGAGGAUAGCCAAAAGAGGGGAAGUCAAGUUCCCGAAUUGAGACGUAGCUCAAGCCCACAACCACCAUGAAUCGGGAUUGAGGCAAAUCAUCAUCUUUGGAGAGAUGGGGCAAGCUACCAUCAUGGGAGAGAUGAAGCAAAAGAGCACUUAAGAGGAAGUGGGGAGGAGAGAGAGAGAAGGAGAAAGGUAGAUGAAGAAACGGGAGGGGCAAUUGUUAUACACCAAUGACAUCUGAUGCACUCCCAAAACACGCACAUUCAUUUCAAUUCUCUAGGAUUCAUUGGAGGCUGGCGUCUCCUUUAGAGAAUCAUGUCGUACGUUUCUUGCAAUUGUUAUACACCAAUGAUAUGUCAUCAUCUCAUGCACUCAAAGCUACUCUUCAUUUUGCUUGGCGUCCUUCUAGCCCGUGGCGUUUGGUGCAUUUGGGAAAGGUCUAUUACGACAUUCACUUUGAGACUGAAGAAGAUAUGCCCCGAGUUUGGAGAGGAGGAACCUGUACAUUCCCAACUAGUAUUUUCAUAUUAUCGCAACGAAAGCUGGUUUAUAAUCUUAGUGAAACUCUUGCCCAUACUCAAUCUCAGGUUUGGGUACGUAUCCAUGGUCUCAGCCAGAAAUAUACUGGGGCACACGCGCACACAAAACACCCUCGCGACACCUAAUGGAAAUAGCGAGAGGUGUAGGCACUCCUCUUCAAUUGGAUAGGUCUACUAAAGAUUGAGUUUAUGGCUACUAUGCCAGAAUUCUUGUGGAUAUGGAACGAGCAAUCGAAAAGAUUCUGAUGCAUUCUCGAAUUUAAGUAUUGUUCCUCGAUCUUCCGAGUAAUCUUCCUUCUUCUCUCAUGUGUGACAAUUUAACAAUGGAUUUGCUCAGUCAUCAACAGUUGAAUAAACAAGACAAUUGCAAGUAGGUUCCAUCUGAAGGUCGCAAACGAAGUCAUCUAGGUGAGAAGAAUCGUGAUCCUUCUCCUAUUGGUCUGAUCAAACCCUAAAUAUUGUCAACCAAAUUCUCGAGGAUGUGAUCAACGAAGAAUUAAAACGCAUUGUUGUUGUGGUGGUCACAGAGAAGGAGGAUGUUGUGAUUACAGAUAUUGAAAAAGAUGAUGAUCAAGCUCGUUAGAAAGUUCUUUUAAAAUGACUGAAAGUGCUUUGAGAUGAAAUGUUUCUGGUUGAAUUGCUUCUUGCAAAAAGCACCACUUAUGUGCUUCUUGCAACAAACAUUUCAAGUGUUUUCUUUCAAAAUUUACUUGUACUUUUAUUAAAAUUAAUUCCAAAAAUAUUUUCAAUAAGACUGCAUUCAAUUAUUUUAAAAUAUUUUUCAAACGAGCUAUUAGUUAUUGAAUAGGUUUCCCAUGUUGGCCGUGUUAGUGACGAUGGGCCUUAACUAGGUUUCCCGUCAAAGCAGAACCGAUGACCUCAAGAAAUACAUAUGUGGGAGUUCAAACUCAAAUUGAGGGCUCCAAUUCUUUGCUUGCUUUCCACUAGACCAACAUUUCUCCAUAAGUGAAUAUGGCUAUAAUAAACAUCAACUUGGCUACCGCUUAUGUAGAACAUAAUAUAUUGUGAAAUACCUCAUGUAUUUAAAAAUAAAUAAAAAAUUGGUUACUAUUUUUACAUAUAUUUAAUACAUUUAUUAUCUAACGGUUAUAUAUAAUUCAUGUGAAUAUAUGUUUUUUGUACAAUCAAAAUGUGACCAUUGAAAUGUCGCAUUGUUGCUAAUACAACUUUGAUCUUGGCCCAAAUGGAGUUGGUUUAACUUUCCACAAAAUGAAAUCCAAACGUAACCCCUUACUUUCCCGCCAUCAUCUACCAUCCUCUCACACCUUUUUGCCGCCAAAUAUCUCUUUUUCCAUCUCUCUCCUUCGCUAAACGGUUUAGCCUAAACCCUCUUCUCUUCUCUCUCUCUCUCUCUCUCUGAUUCCUAGAGUCUGAAGCGGCCAUGGAAGAAAACCAAACUUCCAUGAAAUGGAACCGGCCUUCACCUGUAAUGUUCAUGAGCACCGGCGCCAAAUCUCAGAUCCAUCUCCACACCCACUAUACGGUAAAGGCUUCGCUAAUUUUCUUGGUAUACUAGACCAUGUUCUGGGAACACUUAAAAACUCUCCAUUGGAUUUUCAUAAAGAAAUUUGUCUUUUACAAAUGUGACAUUCGAGUCAUUCAAUUUCCUGGCAUUUUUUUUGCAAGUAACAUUAAAACAAAGUUACACCAUAAUUUAUUUUUAAAAAGAUUUACUUAAAUGCAGAAGGGAGAGUACAUUAUUCUAACUACAAUUUUUAUUUGCAAUAACAAAGGAGACAACUACACAUUUUAAAAGUAAACAACAACAAAACAACAAUAAAAAAACAUUUUCUCACUAAGUGAGGUCCGCUAUAUGAAUCCUAGAAUGUCAUUACGUUCUGUUCUGUGUCAUGUCUUCCGUUAGAUCUUAGUACUCUAAAUAUUUUCUUAGAGUCUUUUCCAAAGUUUUUCUAGGUCUUCCUCUACCUCUUCGGCCCUGAACUUUUAUCUCGUAAUCGCAUCUUCUAACAUAAGCAUCAGUAAGUCUUCGUUUCACAUGUCCAAACCACCAUAACCGAUUUUCUCUCAUCUUUCCUUCAAUUUUGGCUACUCCUACUUUACCUCGGAUAUUCUUAUUUCUAAUCUUAUCUUUUCUCGUGUGCCCACACAUCCAAUGAAGCAUUCUUAUCUCCACAACACCCAUUUUAUGUAUGUGUUGAUGUUUCACCGUCCAACAUUCCGUGUCAUAAAGCAUUGUCGGCCUUAUUGCCGUUCUAUAAAAUUUUACCUUGAGCUUCAGUGGUAUAUAACGGUCACAAAACACGCCGGAUGCACUAUUCCACUUCAUUCAUCUAACUUGUAUUAUAUGGUUGAGGUCUCUAUCCAACUCUCUGUUCUUUUGCAAGAUAGAUCCUAGGUAGCAAAAGCGGUCGCUCUUUAACUCAUUUGAGCCUCCGUUUGCACUGAACUUGCACUUCAUAUACUUUGUCUUUGACUGACUUAGGCGAAGACUUUUAGAUUCCAACAAUUUCUCUCCAAAGGUUAAGCUUUGCAUUUACUCCUUCCUGAGUUCAAUCUAUCAACACUAUAUCGUCUGUGAAAAGCAUACACCAAGGAAUAUCAUCUUGAAUAUGUCCCGUUAACUUAUUCAUUACCAAUGCAAAAAGGUAAGGACUUAAACAUGAGUCUUGAUGUAACCCUACAAUUAUGGGAAAGUUUUCAGUUUGUCCUUCAUGAGUUAUUACUGCAGUCCUUGCUCCAUCAUACAAAUCCUUUAUAGCUUGGAUAUAUGCUACUCGUACUCCUUUCUUCUCUAAAAUCUUCCAAAGAAUGUCUCUAAAAUCCUCCAUCAUACACACUAAAAUCCUCCAUCAUACACAUUUUAAAAGUAAAAUAAAAAAUAUUUGUCCAUGCAAUAGACAUUACAAUUACAAAAGUCGACCAUUUGUUUAAGAAAACAUCAAUGUAUCUGAUCCAAGAAAGCCUUGAGAUUCUUGUCCGAAGACCCCCCUUCACUCACAGCCUCUCUUGCCAAAUCUUUCCAUUUCUUAGCAUUCCUUCUCAUCUCUUCACCAAUCUCCCCACUUUCCAUGACCAACUCCAAACACCUCUUGAGCUCCUCACCCGUAACAAUCCCCUCCUCAUUUGGUGUCACCCUCACUCCUGUCUUCCAACUGUCCUCUAUCAACUUGGCAUUCGUCCCUUGGUCCAUCCACUGAGGAAACGCCACCAUAGGCACUCCCGAAACCAAGCUCUCCAAACUUGAAUUCCACCCACAAUGUGUGACAAAGCAACCCAACGAAGCACUUGACAGAACCUCCACUUGACCACACCACGGCAAUAUCCUCCCGAGCUCUUCCAAUUCCUCUCUGCAACUCAAUAUCUCUUCUUUCUUCGACUCAUUAUCGUCUCCCUUCUUCUCGAUUUUAUCUCUAAUAACCCACAAAAACGGACGGCCGCAAUCCAACAACCCUUUUGCGAUUUCCUCCGUUUGGGCCUUUUCCAACACACAAAUGCUUCCGAAGGAAACAUAAAUCACCGACCCUUCCGGCUUCAAGUUCAGCCACUCGAGGUACGAAGAGUCCUUUGAUUUUUGGAAAAGAUCGCCUCCAAAUGACUUGUCCAAUGGAUCCUUUCUGUCCAAGAAAGCGGACGGAAUCAAUGGCCCGACUCCAAUCAAAUUGUACUUGUCAAUUGCUUCUAAGGCUUCCGGCUCUAGUGCAUCGAACGUGUUCACUAGAAUGGUCUGGUUGGUUUCUCUCUCCAGCAGAUCCAUCUGUUCUUGAAACAAUGAGAGGACGAAAUUGUACAGAUUUGUAUCGACCAUGAAGGAGGGAAGGUCUCGGCUUGUGAGAGCUAAUGGUAAACCUGGUAAUUCUAUCGAACAUGGGACAUUGUUCGUACCAGAAUUAGUAUUAUCCCGGAUGAGAUCUUUGUAGCCGUUAAAAUAAUAGUAGUGGAUGUCGAAAACCGUGGCUGGUUGAAUCCAAAACAGCACGUUUGGGAG
rnacentral:lncRNA from 1 species